rnacentral:rRNA from 1 species
UACGUAGGGGGCAAGCGUUGUCCGGAUUUAUUGGGCGUAAAGAGCUCCUAGGCGGUUCAGUAAGUCAGGUGUGAAAUCUUUGGGCUUAACCCAAAGCGUGCACUUGAUACUGCUGUGACUUGAGUUCGGUAGGGGAGUGGGGAAUUCCUAGUGUAGCGGUGAAAUGCGCAGAUAUUAGGAGGAACACCGGUGGCGAAGGCGCCACUCUGGGCCGAAACUGACGCUGAGGAGCGAAAGCGUGGGUAGCAAACAGG